GCCGGGCAUGGUGGCUCAUGCUUGUAAUCCCAGCACUUUGGGAGGCAGAGGCAGGUGGAUCACCUGAGGUCAGGAGUUUGAGACCAGCCUGGCCAACAUGGUGAAACCCUGUCUCUA
rnacentral:sRNA from 1 species